rnacentral:rRNA from 1 species
GACGAACCGUCCUAACGUUGUUCGGAAUCACUGGGCUUAAAGGGCGCGUAGGCGGCUUGCCAAGUCAGGGGUGAAAUCCUGCAGCUUAACUGUAGAAGGGCCUUUGAUACUGGCGAGCUCGAGGGAGGUAGGGGUGUGUGGAACUUCCGGUGGAGCGGUGAAAUGCGUUGAUAUCGGAAGGAACGCCGGUGGCGAAAGCGACGUACUGGACCUCUUCUGACGCUGAGGCGCGAAAGCUAGGGGAGCAAACGGG